rnacentral:rRNA from 1 species
AACGAACGCUGGCGGCAUGCCUAACACAUGCAAGUCGAACGAGACCUUCGGGUCUAGUGGCGCACGGGUGCGUAACGCGUGGGGACCUGCCCUUAGGUUCGGAAUAACUCCCCGAAAGGGGUGCUAAUACCGGAUAAUGUCUUCGGACCAAAGAUUUAUCGCCUUUGGAUGGGCCCGCGUUGGAUUAGCUAGUUGGUAGGGUAAAAGCCUACCAAGGCGACGAUCCAUAGCUGGUCUGAGAGGAUGAUCAGCCACACUGGGACUGAGACACGGCCCAGACUCCUACGGGAGGCGGCAGUGGGGAAUAUUGGACAAUGGGCGAAAGCCUGAUCCAGCACUGCCGCGUGAGUGAUGAAGGCCUUAGGGUUGUAAAGCUCUUUUACCCGGGAUGAUAAUGACAGUACCGGGAGAAUAAGCUCCGGCUAACUCCGUG